rnacentral:rRNA from 1 species
UACGUAGGCAGCGAGCGUUGUUCGGAAUUAUUGGGCGUAAAGGGCGCGUAGGCGGUUUGACAAGUCUGAUGUGAAAUCUAUGGGCUCAACCCAUAGCCUGCAUUAGAAACUGUCGGGCUUGAGUAUGGGAGAGGUGAGUGGAAUUUCCGGUGUAGCGGUGAAAUGCGUAGAUAUCGGAAGGAACACCUGUGGCGAAAGCGGCUCACUGGACCAUAACUGACGCUGAGGCGCGAAAGCUAGGGGAGCAAACAGG